UACGUAGGGGGCGAGCGUUGUCCGGAGUACUGGGCGUAAAGCGCACGCAGGCGGUCUGCUAAGUUUGGAGUGACAGUUGGUGGCUUAACUGCCAAAGUGCUUCGAAAACUGACAGACUUGAGGGCUUCAGAGGGACACGGAAUUCCGGGUGGAGUGGUGAAAUGCGUAGAUAUCCGGAGGAAUACCAAAGGCGAAGGCAGUGUCCUGGCUGGCAUCUGACGCUGAGGCGCGAAAGCUAGGGGAGCGAACAGG
rnacentral:rRNA from 1 species